rnacentral:rRNA from 1 species
GCUUACGGCCAUACCAGCCUGUGUACGCCCGAUCUCGUCUGAUCUCGGAAGCUAAGCAGGGUCGGGCCUGGUUAGUACUUGGAUGGGAGACCACCUGGGAAUACCAGGUGCUGUAAGCA